ensembl:lncRNA
GUCUUGGCCUUGCCGUUCCAGUAGUUCGUUUAUCCUUUUUAGUCAUCGAUUGUAUAACAGCAUUAAAUUAGGAUCAUCUGCUUUUAAAUGUCAUUUGUAAAAUUGCCAAAAAGCUUAUAAAAUGUUGCAUUUCUGCAGUCUGUUUUUCUGCUUAAUGAGGCAAUUCCAUCACGCUUAGCUAAUUUGCAGUCUGUCAGAAAGCCUCACUGACAGCAUGGACAAAAAUGUCGAAUAUUUGUUUGUUGAUGCCGCGGUCACACCAGGCCUCUCGUCGCGCUCCACCCCCCUGUAGCGAUACCACGGUCUUAAUGCUUUGUUUAUCACCACGAUCACCGGAAGGGGUGUGAAGUUGUCACAGUCACGGAGUAUUAUUUCUCUGUUGCUUAGGAAUCUUAUGGCAUUUCAGUAGUGUUCAUUAGGCUUACGGACGUGCAAGUUUCAUUCACGAUGAUGUAAAUUUGUAUUAAGUAAAUGUAAAUUAUGCCCAUUUUCUGUUGUGUUGAUCGUGUUGAUGCAUGUUUUUUUUUUUUUUUUAUGACAUUAUUAUUAGAAAUUGCUAAAGUUUGAAGUUUUUGAACAUAACCAACCUGAUUAUUUAUGUAAUUAGAGGGUAUUUCAAAAGUAAAAAGCUGGAAUGAAUACAAAGGGGCGAGUUUUCUUUGUAUUUCGUGGUGUUUAGCAUGUUCUAAAGUGUCCUGUGUGGGUUUCCCAUGGGUUCUCUGGUUCCCUUAGAAACUACCGAGAACAUGGCGGUGUUGUAGGUGGAUUGGUGGACUCUAAAUUGUCAUCAUAUAAAGUUCAUAUAUUCUUGGGGCAGUGGUGGCUUAGCGGUUAAGGCUCUGGGUUACUGAUCGGAAGGUCGGGGGUUCAAGACGCAGCACUGCCAAGCUGCCCCGGUUGGGAUAGGGUCCGGUUCCAGUGGGAAAAAAAAAAUAUUAUUGUUAUUAUUAGACAUAAACUAAAAUUUAACCAUGUAUGGUCAUGUAUGUAAAAUUUCGACACAUUUAAUUCUGCGAAAGUGAGUAUCACUUAGAAGAAGAAAAAAAAACAACAAUAACUGAUAAGAAAGAUGAAUUCAAACAGCUUUUCUCGUACGUGUCUUCGGGUGCUCUACGAUGUAUAAUUGUACGAUUUUAAGUCAAGGUGUCAAAUCUUCACGUUCUGAUCCACACUUGAUCACUCUGUGUUUGUAUGUGGGAUAAAAUCAAUACUGACAGAGAUUAAUUAACACACACACACCCCCCCCAUCUCUCUUGCUUUCUUCGUUUACUAUGUGAAGCUACAGAAUGUAGAAAAAGAAAACGUGGAUCAGACGAUCAGAUCAGCCACUAUCAGACAUGUGAUUAUUGAUGAUCAGAUCCAGUGCUGAUUAUUGGGGCGAUAUUGGCAUGGAAAACAAACCAAACCAUCUAAAAGCGUAAUCCCAGUUCUUUUCUCU